rnacentral:rRNA from 1 species
GUGGGGAAUCUUCCGCAAUGGACGAAAGUCUGACGGAGCAACGCCGCGUGAGUGAUGAAGGUCUUCGGAUUGUAAAGCUCUGUUAAUCGGGACGAAAGAGCCUAGUGUGAAUAAUGCUAGGAAGUGACGGUACCGGAAUAGAAAGCCACGGCUAACUACGUGCCAGCAGCCGCGGUAAUACGUAGGUGGCAAGCGUUGUCCGGACUUAUUGGUCGUAAAGCGCGCGCAGGCGGAUCUGCGAGUCUAUCUUAAAAGUUCGGGGCUUAACCCCGUGAUGGGAUGGAAACUACAGAUCUAGAGUAUCGGAGAGGAAAGUGGAAUUCCGAGUGUAGCGGUGAAAUUCGUAGAUAUUAGGAAGAACACCAGUGGCGAAGGCGACUUUCUGGACGAAAACUGACGCUGAGGCGCGAAAGCCAGGGGAGCGAACGGGAUUAGAUACCCUGGUAGUCC